CAAACAGAAAGAAGAAUCCUUACCUGUCUUUUUCUUGGAAUGAAGAUUGGAACACGAUGACUGGAGUUCCCAUAAUGUGCGAUUAACAUCCGUGCAUAAUGAAGAUUUGCAACACCUUGAUUGCUCCUAUCGUAU
rnacentral:snoRNA from 1 species